UCUACCGCUCUGAUCUACCCCUCCCCCAGCACGAACACCCUCGGUGUCCGCCUUCCCGGACAGACAAUCCAGCUCUGGAGCUGCUGCCUAAUGGAGUCCGGGCGCUGGCGUCACAGGAAAUGCCUAUACUGCCCUCCUCGCUCACUUCCGGCAGCAGGUAUGGAACCUAUAGGGGGCUGUCACCCAACACGUGUGUGUCGGGCCGCCGGGGGAAGGCGCCGGGGUGGAGGCGGGGGCCGCCGGGGGUCCGGCCCCGGGGGGCCGCGACCCGGCGCGACCCGCCCGGGCUGCUGCGCGCUCCGCCCUGGCUCCCGGGCCUGGCGUGCGAGCUCGGCCCGCGGAAGGUUCGCCGCCGCCCUCCGAGGCCCUCGGGUUGGGAGGUAGAGUUCGUGUCCUCGCCGUGCACCCGGAGUGACCCAGAAAGCAGCGAUCGGCCGGCGCGGAGGGGGCCGCAGACGCGCAGGCAUGGGCCAGGGUGGGGCCGCCGGCAGCCUGGUUUUGCAGCUGUGACUUCAGGCACGAGGCUGUGCUAGGCCCCUGUCCAGUGCCGUCGGGCUCUGCACCCAGGAUUUCACCACCGCCUCGUUUUAGGGUGGAAACUCUUGAACUUCCACAGCCAAGCACAACACAGCAACAGCAGUUGCUGCGACCGUGUCACCCCGGGACAAGGCAGAGGAGACCGUGCUCCACCCUGGGAACGCGAAGUCGUCUGUAACUGCCUUCCCUUUGGGAGGAAAAACAAUUCGUGGGGGAACGAACUUACAAAGAGUUGAGGGUGUGUAAGGGAGCGGAGGCGCUUUGCUGUGGACUUUUACUGUUUUUGUUUUGUUUUUCUUUUAAAUGCUUGCUCAGGUGGCUUGGUCCUGUUUCCUGCCACCACUUAGAUAGGGAGGAUUCAGGCAUCGAUUCAUAUCCCUGGCUUGAAAUUUUCAGGUGACCCGUGUUUCACAGUCCCAGAGCUUUAAGAUGCUUUCUUGAGUGGAGAACUACAGCAGCAGAGAACCAAGCUGUAUGUUACUCGGUGGUGAAUGGUCCACGGGACCCCUAAAUACGUAGUUUGGUGGUAGUAUGUAAACCUGGUAUGUACAGGUAUUUUUCUCUGAACUUUAGAAAUUCUCGGUGACUUCCCUUUGGGAGCAAAAACAGCAAUAACAGCAACAACAUAAAACAACCAAGCCAAAAAAAAAAAAAAAAAAAGCAGCCUCAAGCAAUACAUCUUACGUUCCUUAAAUUUACAAUACCCACAGCUCGGUAAUUUUGAGGCCUUUGGGGGUAGAGCCCUUUUUAAUUUAGAAGUGUAAUAAAAAUUGUCCUAUGAUUUGUCAAGAAUGCUGAGCUCUAGUCAUCUUGAGACUAAGAAGGAAAGACAGGAAGGCCAGGGCAGUCUUACAGAGAUUUAGCUUUGUGGUUCUCAUGCUUUAAAUAUACUCUCAGGUGUAAGCUGUAAUUGCAAGGUGACUCACAUACCGUGUUUGUAUUCACCUGAGACAGACCUUCGUUUUAGCCGAGGUUCUUGGGGUACAGACAGUAUAUCCAGCAGAGCCAGAAUUACCAGAUAGUUAAUGCCUUCAUAGAGCCCUGUGUCGUAAGUAACUUCAGAAAUCUCAUCCUGAAGGUGGUGGUUGUUUAGGCAAAAUUUACUUCCUGCAAAGUGAUUUAUAGUAAUCUACUAGGUUCCUAGCAACCUUGAGGGUGGAUCAAAUCUGCAGCUUAGUUUAAAUAAAGUCUAGAGCUUUUAUAAAGAAAUGAACCAUUUAACUGAGGCCAGGCUUACACUCAUUAACAAAAGAAGGAUGAAAGGAACAAUAAAUAGAGUUUCAUUGCCAUCUAGUCUUAAUAUUUAUAUUUCACCUUUCCUUUUGCAUAACAAAGACUGCUUUUAAAAUUUUUUGAAUGUACAUGUUUUUAUCUAUAGUUGAACAGAUUGGGAACUUGUUGUCUGACCUCAAGGUCUUUUUAGAGACAGGUUUCAGUUCCACUUGCCUGUGAAUAAUUUUGAAAUACUGUUCUGCACAUUCAGAAACCUUUAGUAACAUUAUGUUACCCAUAGGUUAUUAAGAAUCUAUCAUUGUCUUGUGUUCCCUUGUGGCUCUGGUCUUAUUUCAGUCUUUCUUUUUGGCUAGUUCUCUUCUUAAAAGCUUUUUGUUUUUAUUUUAUUUUUAGUUAACUCAUGAGUUAUGUGCUACAUAGUAUACACUGUACCUUUAUGAAAAACUUAAUCUCUUGCCAUCUCUGAACCCCUCCUUACUGUCACCUGAAUGUGCCCAGCUUGUUUCUUCUGAAGAAACCCCUGUCCUUUCUACCAGUCUGAUUGUACGGAAUUUCUCUGUCAAGACUCAGCUUCUUGCAGCCCCUUGGGAGUGUCUCCUGGCUUCCAACCUUCUCGCCUUUAUUACAUUCCACCUGUGCGGUGAGCAGUCAGUAGAGAGGGCUUGAGGACACCAGCUGCAUCUCACGGGGAAGAUGGAGGCCUGUGAACUCACAAGCGAACAUGCAUAAACCUCCGACCCAGAGAAAAGUAGCCUUUCCUCGGUAGUUGUCUCCAGCUGUUCGGAGACCCACUGGUAUCAAUAAUAAUGUCUGGGGAAGUUUUCUGAAGGAAAUGACUACACUAACAACUUUAUUUUUCAUACAUCACAGCUGAGAGGUCGAUUGGAGUAGUUUCAUAAUUGGCACUAACCUGUGACACUGGCAGUGGCAUUUGCUGCAGCACAGUGUCUGAACGGAAGAGGAGUUUACCAGGGCUGGGAAGGACACAGAGGCCAGGCACUGUGCUGCCACAGAAGGGCUGUUACAAACACUGUGUAAUAGGACUUUUCUUGGGAAAUGAGAAGGCGUGCAUGCUUACAUUCCUGGCAGGACAGACAUGUAGACCAUGACUCUUUGUGGAGGGAUUUAAGUGUCAACAGGUUUUAUUUGGGUUAUGAAAAUUAGAGAUAAAUUUGCCCUUUUUGUAUUAAUGUUCUACUUCUAAACUAGUGUUUUAAAAGAACACUCAAAACAAACAUAAUGUGGGAAGUUGCUCCUAAUAAAACAUGGCGGG